CUUUAACAAAGCAUAUCAAAACAAAAAAUAUUUAUCAAAAGUUUUGUUUGUGGCAUUAGAGCUCUUAGAUUGUAAAUCUGUAAUUAAGUGAUGAUGAAACACUAUGGCCAAUUGUGGGGCCUUAAGAAAACUAUUUCAUUGUGAAAAAGUAGUUUUUAAAGUGGUGCCGUCAUGGUUUUUGUUACUAUGAUAAUUCUUUCUUCCCCAAAUCUAGGCAGUAUUUUUGCAGUAUUUACUGGGGUAAAUAAAG